AUUUCUACACUUACCUUCUCAUUAUAGAGGCAUGGCCCGGGGGCAGCGGCGGUAUUCCCGAAAAAAUAGGAAAGCUGAAAUUUAGAAGAAAAAAAAUAUUAAAUAAAGAUAUAAGAAGAGAUGUAAGAAGGCAAGCUGACAAUGGGAUGGUUCGCUGAAGCAUCGGCAAGCUGAAUGUGAGAUGGUAUGUUGAUGUCCUGUACAUUGACACGGAAAUGAGGCAUUGAAGAUGUUAUGUUGGGGACAAUGCAUGAUAGAACAG